rnacentral:rRNA from 1 species
AUUGAACGCUGGCGGCAGGCCUAACACAUGCAAGUCGAACGAGUGGCGGACGGGUGAGUAGUGUCUGGGAAACUGCCUGAUGGAGGGGGAUAACUACUGGAAACGGUAGCUCAUACCGCAUACCAUCGGAUGUGCCCAGAUGGGAUUAGCUAGUAGGUGGGGUAAAGGCUCACCUAGGCGACGAUCCCUAGCGGGUCUGAGAGGCUGACCAGCAACACUGGAACUGAGACACGGCCCAGACUCCUACGGGAGGAAGCAGUGGGGAAUAUUGCACAAUGGGCGCAAGCCUGAUGCAGCCAUGCAGCGGGUAUGAAGAAGGCCGUAGUGUUGUAAAGUACUUUCAGCGGGGAGGCGUUACCCGCAGAAGAAGCACCGGCUAACUCCGUGCCAGCAGCCGCGGUAAUAC